CUCUCCGAUCCGGAAAUCGUCUCCAAGAUCCUCGCUGGCUUGGACAUGGAGUACAAUCCGGUCGUGUCUGCCCUUGCUGCUCGGGUGGAACCCAUCACCGUCCAGGAGCUGUACAAUCAGCUGCUGAGCUUCGAC
rfam:Triticum aestivum genome assembly, contig: Triticum_aestivum_CS42_TGACv1_scaffold_375072_5AL